GAUCGAGUGGUUGUCUUGGUGGUA
rnacentral:siRNA from 1 species